AGCCGUAAACUAUGCUCGCUAGGUGUCAGGCAUGGCGCGACCGUGUCUGGUGCCGCAGGGAAGCCGUGAAGCGAGCCACCUGGGAAGUACGGCCGCAAGGCUGAAACUUAAAGGAAUUGGCGGGGGGAGCACAACAACGGGUGGAGCCUGCGGUUUAAUUGGACUCAACGCCGGACAACUCACCGGGGACGACAGCAAUAUGUAGGCCAGGCUGAAGACCUUGCCUGAAUCGCUGAGAGGAGGUGCAUGGCGUGUGACUGU
rnacentral:rRNA from 1 species